UCUGGCCCCUCGGGUCCGAGUUGUAAUUUGUAGAGGAUGCUUUUGGCAAGGCGCCGCCCGAGUUCCCUGGAACGGGACGCCACAGAGGGUGAGAGCCCCGUCUGGCUGGCCGCCGAGCCUCUGUAAAGCUCCUUCGACGAGUCGAGUAGUUUGGGAAUGCUGCUCAAAAUGGGAGGUAUAUGUCUUCUAAAGCUAAAUAUUGGCCAGAGACCGAUAGCGCACAAGUAGAGUGAUCGANAGAUGAAAAGCACCUUGAAAAGAGGGUUAAAUAGUACGUGAAAUUGUUGAAAGGGAAGCGCUUGUGACCAGACUUGGGCGCGGCGGAUCAUCCGGGGUUCUCCCCGGUGCACUUCGCCGCGUCCAGGCCAGCAUCAGUUCGUCGCGGGGGAAAAAGGCUCCGGGAACGUGGCUCCCCUGGGAGUGUUAUAGCCCGUUGCACAAUACCCUGCGGUGGACUGAGGACCGCGCAUCUGCAAGGAUGCUGGCGUAAUGGUCACCAGCGACCCGUCUUGAAACACGGACCAAGGAGUCGUCUUCGUAUGCGAGUGUUCGGGUGUCAAACCCCUACGCGUAAUGAAAGUGAACGCAGGUGAGAGCUUC
rnacentral:rRNA from 1 species